rnacentral:rRNA from 1 species
GACAGCAGCCGCCGCGGUAAUACGGAGGGAGCUAGCGUUGUUCGGAAUUACUGGGCGUAAAGCGCGCGUAGGCGGUUACUCAAGUCAGAGGUGAAAGCCCGGGGCUCAACCCCGGAACUGCCUUUGAAACUAGGUGACUAGAAUCUUGGAGAGGUCAGUGGAAUUCCGAGUGUAGAGGUGAAAUUCGUAGAUAUUCGGAAGAACACCAGUGGCGAAGGCGACUGACUGGACAAGUAUUGACGCUGAGGUGCGAAAGCGUGGGGAGCAAACAGGAUUAGAUACCCCCGUAGUCCCUGUCUCUUAUAC